CCAAGCGUUGUCCGGAUUGACUGGGCGUAAAGCGCACGCAGGUGGUCGCGCGCGUGGGGUGUGAAAUCUGGCCGCUUAACGGCCAGGCGCCAUCCCAUACGGCGCGACUGGAGUGAUGCAGAGGUCGAUGGAAUUGCCGGUGUAGUGGUGAAAUGCGUAGAGAUCGGCAGGAACACCCAGGGGGAAACCAGUCGACUGGGCAUCUACUGACGCUGAGGUGCGAGAGCGUGGGGAGCGAACCGG
rnacentral:rRNA from 1 species